UACAUACUCCCUCCGUCCCACAAUUCUUGUCUUAGAUUUGUCUAGAUACGAAUGUAUCUAAUACUAAAAUGUGACUUGAUACAUCCGUAUUUAGAAAAAUUUAAGACAAGAAUUUUGUGACGGAGGGAGUACAAU
rnacentral:pre_miRNA from 1 species